CUAUCCCCUUCCCAUCAGCAUGCCUGGUCAUUUCCUGCCCAAAUCCUAUCUGGAUGCCAGGACCCCCUCAGCAGCUCCUGGGGCAGGGGAGGCAGCCCUCUGGACCCUUCCUCACAAGUUCAUUUCUGCCCAGCCAGAAGGGGACGUGGAAGAGAGUGAGGUGCACAGGAGCCCCAGGACUGCACAGACCCUCCAGGAGGCACAGAGGGAUUCACGGUCCUGGAUCCUCCAAGCGAGCAUUCACUGUGUGCCUGAGCCCCCUGGACCUUCCAAACAAACGUGCGCUCCUAGAACCUCCUGCCCUGAGGAAUGUACUGGUGGACCCACUCCACAGAUGGGAAGCCCGAGGCUGGGAGGGAGGGGCCCCAGAUGGUGCAGCUCCAAUGAUGGGAGGGGUGCCCCUUGAGCCCAGUUUGCAGCCUCCUGCAUGGACCUGCCCCUUUGCUACCUCCCACCCUCAUCCCCACCUGCAUUUCUGUGCACUGGGCUUCUCCCAGCCUCCACCCAGCCCCUGUGUGGACCCCCUUGCAGAAAAUCGAAGGUUAACCAUU